rnacentral:lncRNA from 1 species
CAGAAAGCAGAGUGGGAAGGACUUAAGGCUGACUGGGGACAUGGGAACCAAGGCCAGUACAGGGAAGAGGCCACCGCCAGGAGGCUGUGGCUGCAAUUGCUCUGAAAGAGGCGGGUGCGCAAGUUGGAGACUGCUGAGCUGUCCCCUUACCUUAGUCCAUGAAGACAACAGGCUACAGUGAAAGUAACAGUGAAGCCUGUAAUUGCUUACUAUGCUGGCGUAACCAAGAGGAGAAAACGCCACUCCCCUUAUGUUCCAUUUUUUUCCCCACAGGACAGCACCAGGUUCCAACCCAGGAUAUCACAUUGCAUUUUGUCAUCUCGCCUUGAUUUCUUCUGGUCUAUGACAGUUUCUGUCUUUCCCCAGAU